AUUGAACGCUGGCGGCAUGCCUUACACAUGCAAGUCGAACGGCAGCACGGGCUUCGGUCUGGUGGCGAGUGGCGAACGGGUGAGUAAAGUAUCGGAACGUGCCCUAGAGUGGGGGGAUAACGUAGCGAAAGUUACGCUAAUACCGCAUAUUCUAUGCGUAGGAAAGCGGGGGAUCUUCGGACCUCGCGCUCUAGGAGCGGCCGAUAUCAGAUUAGCUAGUUGGUGGGUAAAGGCCUACCAAGGCGACGAUCUGUAGCGGGUCUGAGAGGAUGGUCCGCCACACUGGGACUGAGACACGGCCCAGACUCCUACGGGAGGCAGCAGUGGGGAAUUUUGGGACAAUGGGCGCAAGCCUGAUCCAGCCAUGCCGCGUGAGUGAAGAAGGCCUCGGUUGUAAAGCUCUUCGUGGGGUAAGGAAAGUAGGACGACGGGUUAAGUAACCCUGUGUUGAUGA
rnacentral:rRNA from 1 species